UCUAUAGCUAUAUUUUAUAAUAUUUGCAACAAACUCAUCGGAGAAAUCGGGAUGUCAAUCCUUUGUGUAUUCCGUAUGUUUUGACAAAUAUUUAAAACCCUUGAACCGUCAAUCGCUUUUCACAAAUCUUUCUCUCAAACAUGUUGCUUCCGUGCUAAGAAGUUCCGGCGGAAACCUUACCCCCUACGUGCACCUUUGCCAGUCGUCUGCAACUGUCGAUGUCACCACCAUCGUCAAUCCAAACCAGUCAGAGCCACGCUACGGGUACCAGUUGCCUCACUCCGCCGUGACCGCCUCGCCGCACAACCACCGGGAUCCCCGCCACACCUAGUUCGAAGCUUGUGAUUAGCGUCUCCGACUCACGAACUACGACCAUCUCUAUUCAUUGUCUGCUAUAAUCACACGCCGUCGCACCCCCGCCGUCUGCCGCCAUUGGUUUAGUCGCCUGAGAUCUCCGAUUCACGAACAGCCACCACACCCCUCACGUUCGAUCGAUCGCGACCGUUAUAGUAGCUUCUUUCUCGUCUCUCUGUGACGCAGCCACCAUCGUCGCCACUUGAAACCGAUCCGACUCACCGAAGUCCUGCACAAUCUUUGAUUCAGUUCCGUCGAUACCGAUCCUAGUCUGAUACGCGGUAUUUAUAUUCAUCUAUUGUCUUUCUGCUCUUGUAUAUAGUCAAAGAAGAAAUAUGGGUGUGAAUAAUCUUUAUGCAUAGUGUAUAUGUUGAAGAAGAUAGAGUAAAUAUGAGUAAAAUGUUAUAUAUGUUUGUUUUAAUAGGCAUACACUAAACAUGCACACAACUCUUAGCUUUCUUUUGGUCUCUAAAUAUAUAUACUAUGUUAUUCAAAUUCUAAGUAUUGGAAUAUGAUGUCAAUUGAAUUUACGUUUACUUUUAGAAUCAUAAAUAAAUCGGUGAUUCAGAGAACUAUGCCAUAUUCAUUUAGUAGUAUUUUAUGAAACCAUUGAAUAUAAUUAUUAUUUGAGUAAAGGAAUUUAUAUUACAAUUUGAUUUAUCCACCAAAUACUAUUUUAAACUGUUUAUCAUGAAAUCACUUGUAAUCAUUCUAUCUUUGUAUAUAGAUGACGAAUAAAAUAUAUCCUACUUUUGCCAAAGCAUAAGGAAAACUUAUAUAAAUUCUUACGUUUGAAAGAGAAAUACCAAUUAAAAGGAUAAUAAUGAAAUAAAUGUAACUUGGAACAUAAAUUUAUUGUAGGGUGUCGUGACGUUUGAGUCAAGCUUAGGUCUCGUCACGAUUUUCGCUGUCAAUGUACGGAUUCCUUUUCUUGACAUCAUAGUAUUUUUAUUCAAGUCCGUUAUUUUGUAGUACGGUUGUUUUCGCUGGUUGUUUCUGUUUCGUAAUUAGUAUAUAUUGUAGCAUGCAAUAGACUUUAUACUUUGUGCUCGUUAUUGCAUGUUCCCUCUAAACUUAUGUCAAAAUAUAUUUUAUUUCUGAUACGGCUUUGUACUCUGUCACCCGAGCGCUUCUGACUUGUCGUUGGGGCGUCAACGACAUGGCACUCAUCGUGACGGUGCGUAACUAAAGUUCACGGCGUUUCUAGUUUGUGCUUGUGUAGCACAUGGCCCCUAGAGGCGAAUAGAUCGAUCUUAGCUCUGACUCCUGACUCCUGACUCCUGACUCCUGUUGAGAUGGAAUAAUGUUUGUACGCCUACAUGCACCAUCUCGGCACAUGGACUAGUGCCAUGUAUGCCUCAGUUUAGGCUCGUGGGUGCUUCUAUAUUACGUGACUUGUUUUAUUGUUAUAUGUUGUCACGUAAUUUGGGGAACGUGGGGAAUAAGUGAAGAGUGUUCUGAAGAUAAAUAUUUUUUUUAUUUCGGUAAUGUAAUGAAAAAGUAAUUAGGAUCCUUUGUUUUCAACGUUAUGGAUUGGUUUUAGUUUUGAUAUCUGUAUGAGUGACACGUCAGCCUGUCUAGGUUGGGGUGUUACAAUUAUGGUAUCAGAGCCAAGGCUCUUUCCUGUAGAAAACUUAAACCUUAAAAACUAAACGUGUGAGGUUAUGGGUAGACGUUGAGUUAGGAUUUCAACUUCUGAUCAAUUUUCGUACUCGUUAGUUUGUUGUCUUUUUUGUCCUGGUGUUCGCUUUAGUAUUUGUUUUUAGAACUAUUGCUAAAUUUGUUUAUCGCCAUACUAGCUUUCUUUACAAUUUUAAUAGGUCAUUGAGAUGCGUGAUAAUAGGACCGUUAGGACACUUAUGUAAGGUAAUUGACAAUUAUGGUCGCGAACAUAAUCGUGAAUUACAGGUACAUAUGUGUGCUUUUGGACUCUUAUUGUGUAGAUUAGUAUGUACCCGAAAUUGUUGUGUCUCAGCAUUCUAAAUCUCACUCUACUUGUUUUGUUAUUUUUGAAUUUGAAUUUAUUUAGUAUGCGUUUGACCGUCUCAGAACUCCACACUUUAGCAUGUUUCAUAUAAAAGUAUACAAUGUUUAAAAUUCAUUUCGUAACUGUUAUAUCUAAAUUUGCUCAUCAUCCAUACUUUAACAAUUUGAGGACAAUUUUUUUUUUUUUUUUUUUUUUGUAGUGGGUAAAUUUGUAAUAUUUGAAGAUAAAGGUUAUAUUUUUUAUAAUAAAACGAAUAAAAAUUCUACAUAGAAUUUGAUGAUCAAUUCUUAGAUUAUUUGUCUAAACUUUUGAUAAUUAAGUGUGUAUGUAUGUUUUAUCUCUUUUAUCUGCUAAGUAUUUGAAGUCCUUGUCUACUGCUUUAGAGUAUCCUCUAGUUUAUCUGCUCCUUUUAGAGAAACUUAUUUUGAUUUGAUUUAGUAUUCGUUUAUUUGCCGUCUCAGAAACUUCGUACCUUAAUAUGUAUGAUGUCUAAAUGUUUGUUAUGUGUUAAGUCUUUUCCGUGUCCGUUAUGAUUGAGAUCGUUCGUAUCCGUGCUUAGCAUUUUCGAGGACGAAAAUUUUUUUUUAGAGGGGAAGAAUUGUAAUAUCUAGAAAUUUGGAUUUAAAAUAAUAAUGAUAAUAUUAAUAUUAAUAUCCAUACUAAUAUAAUAGAUUAAAAAGUCUAUAUGUUAUGGAUAAUCAAAUUUGUGAGAUAAGUAUAAGUUGCUAAAUAAAUAAAUUAAAAAAAAAUGCUAUGCAUAUGAUUUUUGUUGUUACGUAACUGAAUAACAAAAGAGUAUGAGAUAUAAUAUUGAUUAAGCACACUUCACAACCAUCUUUCAAAAUUACAGUUUCGAAGUCCGAUAUUGCGGCAACCUUUUUCUUUAUCUCUAUAGCUAUAUUUUAUAAUAUUUGCAACAAACUCAUCGGAGAAAUCGGGAUGUCAAUCCUUUGUGUAUUCCGUAUGUUUUGACAAAUAUUUAAAACCCUUGAACCGUCAAUCGCUUUUCACAAAUCUUUCUCUCAAACAUGUUGCUUCCGUGCUAAGAAGUUCCGGCGGAAACCUUACCCCCUACGUGCACCUUUGCCAGUCGUCUGCAACUGUCGAUGUCACCACCAUCGUCAAUCCAAACCAGUCAGAGCCACGCUACGGGUACCAGUUGCCUCACUCCGCCGUGACCGCCUCGCCGCACAACCACCGGGAUCCCCGCCACACCUAGUUCGAAGCUUGUGAUUAGCGUCUCCGACUCACGAACUACGACCAUCUCUAUUCAUUGUCUGCUAUAAUCACACGCCGUCGCACCCCCGCCGUCUGCCGCCAUUGGUUUAGUCGCCUGAGAUCUCCGAUUCACGAACAGCCACCACACCCCUCACGUUCGAUCGAUCGCGACCGUUAUAGUAGCUUCUUUCUCGUCUCUCUGUGACGCAGCCACCAUCGUCGCCACUUGAAACCGAUCCGACUCACCGAAGUCCUGCACAAUCUUUGAUUCAGUUCCGUCGAUACCGAUCCUAGUCUGAUACGCGGAUGCUGGAAGAGGAUAUCGCUAACAUCUUGGGUGAUAUCCUGAGAUUCAUUAAUUAACCACGUGCAGAUUAAAGGCUGAGACUUACUAACGGUCAAGAGGACUUCUUCUCCUCAGGACUCGGACGAGUUUGUUGAAGAAGAGACGUUGAGCCCGAAAGACCAGGUCUACAACGUUCGAUGAAGGAAUAUUCGGUGGAUCCCGCAAGUUUAGGAUAGUUAGUUAAUUUAUCUAUACUAUAAAUAGAUGUGGCGGAUCAGUUUAAGGCACACAAUUUU
rnacentral:lncRNA from 1 species